CACAGCCGUGAGUAUGCUCAGGCUUCAGAAGAGGCUCGCCUCUAGUGUCCUCCACUGUGGCAAGAAGAAGGUCUGGUUAGACACCAGUGAGACCAAUGAAAUAGCCAGUGCCAACUCCCGUCAGCAGAUCCAGAAGCUGAUCAAAGAUGGGCUGAUCAACUGCAAGUCUGUGACGGUCCAUUCCUGGGCACGAUGCCAGAAAAACACCUUGGCCCGCCUGAAGGGCAGGCACAUGGGCAUAGGUAAGCGGAAGGGUAUAGCCAAUGCCCGAAUGCCAAAGAAGGUCACGUGGAUGAGGAGAAUGAGGAUUCUGCUCCGGUUGCUCAGAAGACACUGUGAGUCUAAGAAGGUUGAUCGCCACGUGUAUCACAGCCUGUACCUGAAGGUGAAGGGGAAUGUGCUCAAGAAUAGCUUAAAAUAG